AUGCUGUGGCCUUUCCCCCCCGCGUCCCCGCAGCCACCUGGUGGCCGCGGGCGGCGCGUCCUGCCCCGUGGGGCUGUGCCCUGCGUGGGGCUGUGCCCUGCGUGGGGCUGCCCGCAGCGGGGCUGCCCGCAGCACAUGUGGGCGCGCAGCUGCGGGAGGGGGAAGCCCACGGGGCUGGAGGCGGCUUUCUGCUGGGGGCUGCAGCCCACACCUGGGAGGGAGGGAGAGAGAGAGAGAGAGAGAGGGAGGGAGGGAGGGAAGGAGGAAGGGAGGGAGGGAAGGAAGGAGGCAGGCAGGCAGCCGCCUCUAACUCAAGUUUCAGCCGUGCAUCGCGCUGGGAGCCGACGUGCCACCAGGAAGAAGUGUCAGUGUAAAAGUCUCCACUUGGGUGGUCAGAGCAGUGGCUGCCCCCACUUUGCCUCAUCGCUGAUGCCUGCGUGCUACAUUCCCAGCGAUAAUGUUGUUCCUAAUCAAUCUGCCCUUAUUUACAUUUGUAAGCACUGCUGGCUGUGAUAUGCAUGGGCCUUGUGUGCAACUGCUCCUCCACACCAAGGGCUGCUUCUGCCUUCAGCAGCUCGCCUGGGACCUGCAGAUGUCUUAUCUCGGACUUGCCCUGUGGCCAAGGCCCGGGAAGGUGUCCCCGCGGGUGGAGUGGCUGCAGUCUGCAAUCUGACUGAAAUACGCCUGGUCUCCCCUGCUCCUGGACCGCCAGGGCUGGCACGCAAGAAUCCCGGGGCUUCAUUUUACAAGGCUUUGCCUCUUGCUUGGGUCACCUUCGUGCUCACCGCAACCCCAGACACCGCACAGCUCCACGCUCCCCGCAGCCACGCGAGGGACCAGCCCCGGCAGGGUGUGCAGCGCCGUGACCCUGCUUUACUGUCACGCGUCUCUGCAGGUUGCCCAUCACCUGCGGACCGCAGCAGCGCCGGGGUGCGGGGCCUGCCCUUCCCCUCACCCCACCCCACGGGGGGGCUGCGGAGCCCACCCGCGGGGCGCUGCCUUGGCGUGUCCCCCCGGCCCCGCCACCGCGCAGGGGCACGGAGGCGGCGGCACGGAGCCGGCCCGCUCCCCCUCCUCAGCCCGGCAAGCAAAGGGAGCUGCUCGAGCCAGCUUGUCAAAAUAAUGCGGCUAAUUACCCCUGAUCUCCUUUAAUGGAGAGCCGCUCUGCACGCCGCAAAGGAGCAAAUGAGGGAUCUACAGCGCCGGCCCGGCAGAGCGGGCGUUUCUCCCCGCGGAGGGCUGCGGGAGAUGCGCCUCCCGCGGCCGCCGGCCCUCCGCGCUGCCCCGCCGGGGCCCCGGGAGCUGCGGAGGGCGGCGGCCGCAGCUGCAGCCCCGUCCCCGCCGGGAGACACCCGGCGGGCAUCCCGGCUGCAGCAGAGCUUGUCCUGCCCGGCGAGGGGCUUUAGCCUUAUAAACCCAAGUCGUCUUCAAAACAGAUUUUUUUUUUUUUUUUUUUUUCCUUCUGGCACGGUGCCCUGCCACUUGCAGGACUUUAAUGCGCACGCAGGGGGGAAAGUUACACUGAACAGUUUUUAGCCAGCCCGGACAACACCGAGCCUGUGUAGCGAUAUAGCUCAAGUCUUGCAUUUGGCAGAGGGCAGGGCAUUCAUUUUCAUGAUCUCUGCCAUCGGGUCUCGCAGAAAAAAAGCUGAGCGACACGAUCUCUUUGACCCACUGCUGGAGCAACAAAUUUAUUAGAGAUAUAGGCGUGAGAAAUGAAAAGGAAGUAAAACAAUUCAGGCUCAUUGUAUGUCUUUCUUUCAUACUGCUAAUCCGGUUUACACAUCACGCCUACAUGUCUCAAUAGGGCUUUAUACACUGUGGCAAAGGCAGAAGAAAAUAAAAGGUGUGUGUGUGAGUGCGUGCGUGUGUGU
rnacentral:lncRNA from 1 species